GCAUGGCAGCUGCCUCUCUGUUCGCUGCUGCUGUAAUACAGUACAAAUAAUAAAUAGUCUUACUAAGAUAUAGCACAUUCAGUAUAUAUUAUUUCAUGAGGCUCUUCUACUUCUACUACCAAGUUCAACAGAUGACAUCGUUGAAACUUCACCAAGAACCAUAGGACACACGUACAAUACAUCUUCUAAAACGAGAUGAUGUCAAACUCAACUGAAGUUCUAAUUAAUUCAAGGACAACUUUACAGAGUUAUCAGGAACCAGGCGAUGCCAGCUCUUCUGAGGAUCAACCGAAAACAGUUGAUACCACGGACAGUCUUUCAGAGGAUCCUCCAAAAACAGAUGAUGUCAAUGACAGCCCUUCUGAGGAUCAACCGAAAACAGUUGAUACCACAGACAGUCCUUCAGUGGAUCCUCCAAAAGCAGCUGAUACUGAUGACAGCACUACAGUGGGUCCUCAGAAAACAGAUAAUGCAACGGACAGUUCUUCAGUGGAUCCUCCAAAAGCAGUUGAUGCUAAUGACAGCCCUACAGUGGGUCCUCAGAAAACCGAUAAUGCAGUGGACAGUCCUUCAGUGGAUCCUCCAAAAGCAGUUGAUGCUAAUGUAUGCACUUCUGAGGAUCAACCGAAAACAGUUGAUACCACGGACAGUCUUUCAGUGGAUCCUCCAAAAAAAGGUGAUGCUAAUGAGAGCACUUCUGAGGAUCAACUAAAAACAGUUGAUACCAAGGGCAGUUCUUCAGAGGAUCUUCCAAAAACAGUUGAUGCUAAUGACAGCCCUUCUGAGGAUCAAACGAAAACAGUUGAUACCACAGACAGUCCUUCAGUGGAUCCUUCAAAAGCAGCUGAUACUGAUGACAGCACUACAGUGGGUCCUCAGAAAACAGAUAAUGCAACGGACAGUUCUUCAGUGGAUCCUCCAAAAGCAGUUGAUGCUAAUGACAGCCCUACAGUGGGUCCUCAGAAAACCGAUAAUGCAGUGGACAGUCCUUCAGUGGAUCCUCCAAAAGCAGUUGAUGCUAAUGUAAGCACUUCUGAGGAUCAACCGAAAACAGUUGAUACCACGGACAGUCUUUCAGUGGAUCCUCCAAAAAAAGGUGAUGCUAAUGACAGCACUUCUGAGGAUCAACUAAAAACAGUUGAUACCAAGGGCAGUUCUUCAGAGGAUCUUCCAAAAACAGUUGAUGCUAAUGACAGCCCUUCUGAGGAUCAAACGAAAACAGUUGAUACCACAGACAGUCCUUCAGUGGAUCCUCCAAACACAGUUGAUGCUAAUGACCGCCCUCCUGUGGGUCCUCAGAAAACGGAUAAUGCAACGGAAAGUCCUUCAGUGGAUCCUCCAAAAACAGUUGAUGCUAAUGACAGCCCUUCUGAAGAUCAAACGAAAAAAGUUAAUACCAAGGACAUUCCUUCAGUGGAUCCUCCAAUAGCAGCUGAUGCUAAUGACAGCCCUACAGUGGGUCCUCAGAAAACAGAUAAUGCAGUGGAAAGUCCUUCAGAGGAUCCUCCAAAAACAGUUGAUGCUAAUGAUAAGCCUUCUGAGAACCAACCGAAAACAGUUGAUACCACAGACAGUCCUUCAGUGGAUCCUCCAAAAGCAGCUGAUGCUAAUGACAGCCCUACAGUGGGUCCUCAGAAAACAGAUAAUGCAGUGGAAAGUUCUUCAGAGGAUCCUCCAAAAGCAGUUGAUACUAAUGAAAGCACUUCUGAGGAUCAACCGAAAACAGUUGAUACCACGGACAGUCUUUCAGUGGAUCCUCUAAAAACAGUUGAUGCUAAUGACAGCCCUUCUGAGGAUCAACCGAAAACAGUUGAUACCACGGACAGUCCUUCAGAGGAUCCUCCAAAAAAAGGUGAUGCUAAUGACAGCACUUCUGAGGAUCAACUAAAAACAGUUGAUACCAAGGGCAGUUCUUCAGUGGAUCCUCCAAAAACAGUUGAUGCUAAUGACAGCCGUACAGUGGGUCCUCAGAAAACAGACAAUGCAACGGACAGUCCUUCGGAACAUCCUCCAAAAACAGUUGAUGCUAAUGACAGCCCUUCUGAGGAUCAAACGAAAACAGUUGAUACCACGGACAGUUCUUCAGUGGAUCCUCCAAAAACAGUUGAUGCUGAUGACAGCCCUACAGUGGGUCCUCAGAAAACAGAUAAUGCAACUGACAGUCCUUCAGGCUCAGAAAAAGCUGAAAACAGUGAUAACAUAAGACCACAGACAUGGAUAAGCUCUGCCAAAGGUGUGAAAAACAGACAAAAGCUAUCUGCAGAACAACUGAUGGGCAGACUUCAUCUGGAGGGCAAAUAUCAGAAACUGAACACAGCAAGUUUUCUUCAAAUAACUGAACAUUCACAAUCUCACGAGUUUUGUGCAGAGGAAGAAAUUGCUCAAACUUUUCUACAAAAAUUACUGACAUUGGACUACACAGUGAGAUGCAUCAAAAUUGGAGAGAACAAUGAACAGAACGACAGACAACAAAGAUGUAAUAAGUUGUCUAAAAGAGAUGUUUUUGAUGAUAUUUUUGGAGAUGCAGCUGAAUCUGCUGAUGAGACGAACAUAUUAGAUGCAAUUGACUUAAUGGAUGCUCAGAUGGCUGUGUUUCAUUGUGCUGAUAGUUUCUUAAAGCAGCUCAUAGUCACUAAACUCUCACAGUGUCAGUUUGCUCUUCCUCUGCUUGUACCAAAUCCAUUCACACAACAGAUUGAGUUUCCUCUCUGGACAUUUAGACAAACCAAAAAGAGCUGGAAGACGACUGAUGAUAAAGGUCAAACCCAACCAGUCUACAGGGCAGAAACUCCAAUGGUGGCUUUCUUCAGGUUUGGCUCUGUGUCCUCAUCCAAGUCUCAAUUGAUUAACAGUUUGAUCAAUGAGAAACACAACACGUUCUUCCAUAGAAACUGUCCAGGCAGCAGCAGAACCAGAAUACUAAUGGACGGGGUGGUGGAGAUCGCCUGGUACUGCCCAUCUGGAGACAAAACAGAUACAUUUCCUCAAUGUGUUGCGUUCUGUAAUCUUCAUGGUGAUGGAGGAGACAAUGAGAAACAGCUGGAUAUCAUAACACAAAUGUCUUGUGUAAAUGUUGUUAUUUUACCUCAAAUUACCAAGAAUGACAACAGCAUGACAAAGAUUGAAAAAUUAUACCAGGGUUCAAAGCCACUCAUUUGUCUUCUUACUGAGAAUGAUUCCACUCUCAAAGAAGUAAAACAAGGAAAAUACAGAAUAGGUUUGAGAGACAGAAAUCAAUCUACUGUCUUUGAAGAACUCAGAAAAGCUAUCAAUAAAGAAUUCUCAUCUUUAGAAUCGUCUUCCCUUUUCAAACUUGAAGAUGUGGCCAAACAUUUAAAUAUCACAGUAGAUGAGAAGACUGAUGAAGACUGCAGGAGUGGAAAAGAUGCAGCGCAGAAGAUGAUGAGUUUACUGGAGAGUAAAGAUCUCACAGAAAUCAAAGAAUCAUUUCUGCCAUGUCAGGGACAACUGUGGCAUCAAUGGUGCCAGAUGAAUAAAGAACUACACAGACCUACAUUGGGUGAACUACAUAAGAGUGAUAUUAUAGAAAAAAACAAAAGUUAUGAGAAAUUAGAAAUGCUGAAAAUCCGUGAACAGCAGCAAACAUCUGGUUUAAGUAAAUUUAUCCAAAUCUUUAUUCAACAACUGAACUCACAAGAAGGAAAUGAGAUGGUGUAUUUUCUUAAAUGGCUUGGGAUUCUACUGGAUGACUUCACCACUGAAAGUUUUUCAGCCCUUCAUCAUGAAUAUAAUGAAAAGUGGUCAGCAGUAUCAGAUCUUAGGAAGAAACAUGAUAAAUCACAACAACUUAAAGCUGAACCAGAACUUGAGAGAAUUUCUGAGAAACUACAGGCUGCAACCAUUGGUUUGGAGCACAUACUGAGAGAGGUCGGUCAGAUAUAUGAAUCAUGGUCAUCUGUGAUAAACAACAAGAAAAACCUGAAGAUUGACUUCAGAACACUACCUGGUCUUGCAGCAAAGAUGAUGAUGACUGGAUUUCCACUGGAGCUGAUGGAUGGAGAUGCUGCUCAUGUUCCUCUGAUAUGGGUUACUGCUGUUUUAGAUGAACUCAUCAAGAAACUGGGAGACAAGAGAGUUUUUGUGCUGUCAGUAUUAGGGAUUCAGAGCUCUGGGAAAUCCACCAUGUUGAAUGCCAUGUUUGGUUUACAGUUUGCUGUCAGUGCCGGCCGGUGCACCAGAGGAGCUUUCAUGCAGCUGGUUAAAGUGUCAGAUGAGAUGAAAAUAAAAGAACAGCUGAAGUUUGACUAUAUUCUGGUUGUUGAUACUGAGGGUCUUCGUGCUCUAGAACUGGCUGGAAGAUCAACAAGAAAUCAUGACAAUGAAUUGGCCACAUUUGUUGUUGGUCUUGGAAAUAUAACGUUAAUCAACAUCUUUGGAGAAAACACUGCUGAGAUGCAGGACACUCUUCAGAUUGUUGUUCAGGCCUUUCUGAGGAUGAAGAAGAUAAAGGUAAAUUCCAGCUGUAUGUUUGUGCAUCAGAAUGUUUCUGAUGUCACAGCCAGAGAGAAAAAUAUGGAAGGAAGGAGACGACAACAGAAUAAUCUGGAUGAGAUGACAAAACUUGUUGCUAAAGAGGAGGACUGUAAUACAGAGUGUUUCAGUGAUGUCAUUGCAUUUGAUGUACAGAAUGAUGUGAAGUAUUUUUCACAGCUCUGGGAGGGAAGCCCACCUAUGGCUCCACCAAACCCAAACUACAGCAGAAACGUUCAGGAGUUAAAGAACAUCAUUCUCUCAAAAGCUUCUAGAGGGAGCGGCAUCACACUGUCACAGUUCAAAAUGCGUAUUGAUGAUAUUUGGACUGCAUUGCUUAAUGAAAACUUUGUGUUCAGCUUCAAAAACACACUAGAGAUUUCUGUGUACAGAAAACUGGAAACUAACUAUAGCAACUGGAUUUUCAGUCUCAGGAGUGCCAUGUUGAGAAUUGAAAACAAAAUCUGUAACAGAAUCGCUAAUGGAAACAUUGAGAAUCAUGAUCAUGACCUGCUGGCUGAAAUGAGGAAGACAAAAGAAGAAGUCGAAAAAUCAAUGAAGUCUUACUUUGAUGAGGACAAAGACAAAGACAUUUUGUGUCAAUGGCGAGAAAGAUUUGAAUCACAAAUUAAAGGUCUUUAUGAUGAUCUGGUGAAGGAAAUAAAAAGAAAAUUGAAUAAAGCAAUUGAGCAGAAGAAAGCCAGGGAGAAUCUGGAUAAAAGAAGAACAGAGUAUGAAAAAAUGCUUUUCACUCGGAGCAAGGAAUUAGCUGUUAGUCUAAAAAGUAAAGGAGGAGAUGAACGCGUUCUGAAAAAGGAAUUUGACACAGUGUGGAGUAAAUGGAUCACUGAAUUGACAGAAGAUAUUCCUCCACUGAAAGAUUCUGAUUUAUGGGAAAAUGUCAUUCAGGUUUUAUCAGAAAACCAUGAACCAACUUUUGUGAAUCAGAGACUAAAUCUGCAAUGUUUUAAACACAUAGUCCACAGAGGUGAUUAUGAUGACUACAUUAUACUACAGAGACAUCUAGAGCAAUCUGAUGAAACUGUAUCAACUCAAAAUGAGACCUUGAAUGUUGAAUAUAAUGACUCAGUGAGGCAACUGAUUCAUACUGUAAAGCAGGAAACUAAGAAGAUAAGUGAAAAAUCACCAGUCAAAAGACACGGCUACAAUUUCAGUUACAUUCAGGAAAUAACAGACUGUGUAAAAAAGUUAGUAGAGCAACAUGAAUCAGAGAACCAAACAUACAAACUGAAAAGAGAGUUUAUCACAGAUCUCUGUCUCUAUGUGUGUGACACUGCAAGUACAAAAAUUCUUAAACUCCACAAGAAAUUCAGGGAAGCAAAUGAUCCUAAAAUGCAGAAAACUCAAUACUACAACAUCUUCAUGAACUACUAUAGAGGAGCAACAAACACAACAACAAUAAUUCAUUUCAUCUGCAGCAAACUUGAACCGUCCAUCUUACAAGAAGUUUACAACCAAACUGCGAUUGAUUUAGCAGCACAGAUGAAGUCUGACACACGAGCAUUACGUGAGAACAGAUCAAAUCUGGAGAAACACAUUCUGAAAUCCCUGGCAGAAAAAGAGGACUUUCAACAAUAUAUACAAUACAUCCUUAUACCCAAACAACACUUCAAACAAUUCAUAAAAACUGAAGUGGACAAAUACUUCAACGAACAAAGUGAAAUUAUUCUAAACAUUUUCAAAGGAAAUCUACAACAGAAAGAGCAGAUUGUGAGUAAUGCUGUGCGUGCAGUGACAGUUGAGGUCAAAAACAAGGGAGGAGAUGGAAACAUGUGGUUCACAAGUUUUACCAAAACACUCACAGAUGAGCUGAAAUUCACAGGAGAGCCAUGUGUUAAUCUCACAGAAGUUAAAGACUUGGAUUUUCUUGAAAAUCAUUUUAGAAAAAGUCUGAAUGAAAUGACGAAAAAUCUACAAAACAGUUUUUCAAGAAUUAAUGACAUUAAAAUGGAAAAGUGCAAGAAGAAACCAGAUGAGAUUUUGAUCGAUCACUUCUGUCAGUGCUGUUGGGUUCAGUGUCCCUUCUGUAAAGCCAUCUGCACCAACACAAUGGAAGAUCAUUCUGGAGAUCACAGUGUUCCUUUCCAUCGUAGCAUUGGACUGAAUGGGCGUUUUUAUAGAGAAACAACAAACUUGGCUAAUUGUUUCUGCACAACAGAAGUAACAACUGAUAACUGGCUCUACGCAGAAAAUUCGGAUGAAAAAAUUUUUUGGAGAGAAUACAGAAAAGGAGGUCCUGAAUUAGCUAACUGGAGCAUCACUCCUGACUUGUCUGAGCUGCCGUACUGGAAGUGGGUUGUGUGCAGAUUCCAGGAAGAUCUAGAAAAGUACUACAGUAAAACAUUCAAGGCACAUUUUGAGAUUCCAGAUGAAUGGAGACAGUACACAAAAGAGGAUGCUAUUGAGAGUUUGGAUAAAUACUACUAAUAGCAAAGAAUUUAUAAAGGUUGCAGCUAAUAACAGCUAAUAUUAAUGGAUCAUUCUAUUCAGGAGAAAGUAGACUGCAACUUGGAUGUCCUGAUACCAAGCUUAAAGACGAACAAAUUGACAAAGAAACCCUCCUGCUGGACAUCCACUUCCAAAAGUGCACACCACACUGUUGUGUAUAGACUCCCAGGAAAAGAAUCCUCUUCAGUAUGACUGCUCCGUGGAUAUGUCAGGUUAAGCAGUACUGGAACCGAAAGAACUAAAACUUUUUAAAAAACAUUUUUAUGAAGUUUAUAUGAAGAGGAAAGUUCUCGGACUAAUACAUUCCUGCAAAUGUCAACCAAUACCAUGAAAAAAGUUUUUACCAAAGGUUUUUACUGUACUAACUGCACCUUAUCAACAAGUGGUGGUUCAAAUACCCGUGUGAGGUCUCUCUUCAAGUUAAGGUAUUAUUGCUUCAGGUUUGUACAUUUUAGUUAACAGAAAUCCUACAAAGUUUGUUGCCUCCCGAAUUCGGUGUUCCUUUUUCACAUCCAUAACGCUUGUUUAUUUCCUUUCUUUAAAAUAGAAAUCUUGUGUAUAGAUUGAUAUUUUAUCAUAUUAGUGCAGUUCUAUCAACAAGGGUUUAGUAAAAUAAAAAUAAAUAGUUCAGUAUAUUGGUAUCAAAUACCUUUCUGAGUGUUUUUGCACAUCCAUAAUGCUGGAAAUGUCCUAAAGCAUUUUACUCGUGCCACUUUUUUUAACUGUAUUUUGUAAAAAGUUAUGAUUUUUUGAAGUGGAAAGUUGUCUAACUAUUUCUGUUUACUUGCGCCACUUUAUGCAAAUGUUAAAAUCUAAACUAAUGUAAUUUAUUGAUGUUUUUUUUAAUAUGUAUCAACAUUAAUUAAAUUACAGUGUUUGAUAUGCCAUUUUAUUGUUAAUUGAGCAUUAAAAUA